rnacentral:lncRNA from 1 species
UGUGUGAUGUAAAGAAUAAUGAAAUUUAAAUAAUAGAACCAUAAUCAUUUGUUGAAUUAUGUAUUGAAAUGUGCAGUUAGGAACAUAUAUUACAUCAUCUACUAGUCUUCUAAUAAUUCGCGCAGUGUGAUUAUUUUACUACUUAAAUGUUGGUACCGAUGCUGGUGGACUACCCCCUAAGAUAUGAUCUCUCAAGUAGAUAGUGAAACGUUAGUUGCAAAUGAAUUUAACAUUAUAUUUUCAAUCCAUUAGUACUGUAUUUUUCUGAAACAACGAUUGCAACGUUAUGGUACAUAAAGAUGAUGUAACUCGUUUAAUGAAGUUAUAUAAGGGCCUUUUCUGUUAAUGCGCAUAAUCGGUUUUGGUUUUCGAGCAUUUCUUAUAUAAUUUAAACAAACGAAAUGCGCAAACAAUGUGUGUUGGUUAUGUUUUUUUUAAUCAUUUUUUUUUACUUUCAAAUUGUUUAUUUUAUUACGUUCUUUUAUUUGACUUAUUUUAUGUUCGUUUGGGUUGUUAUUUGGAGGGUUUUUAAUCUCUUUUAUCAUGAUAAUUAUUAACCAAAGGUCAUCAAAUAUGAUAGGCUUAUACUUAACAUUUCGUUACAUUUAUAAACAUGAUACAUCAUUAAUUCACUUACAUGAAAUACUGUAUAUACUGUCGAUACGGUUUGUGUCGUUAUACAGGACCAUGAAAUCAGUUCCUUGUGAUAUAUUACCCAUUGCUAAUUGAUUGUGAUUGGAAAAAUAUACGUUCGUACCAAAGAUGUCAAUAGCAAUGUUCUUGCAAGAUGGCGAUUUGCAGUUUGUGUUAAUGACUGUUUUUACGUCAGAUCGAUCAAGCCUAGCUGAAUUCAGGUUUCCAGUGUCAUCUACUAUCCAAUAAAUUCUUUCAUUUUCCAUGUCU